rnacentral:rRNA from 1 species
CCCUUAGAUGUUCUGGGCCGCACGCGCGCUACCAUGGUCUUCGCAAACGGAUGCAUUCUCGACGGAGAAUGCCAAUCUUGGAAUCUAUGCCUUGGUCGGGACAGUUGCUUGCAAUUUUUCGACUCGAACCAGGAAUUCCUUGUAAUCGUGAUUCAUCACAUCACGAUGAAUACGUCCCUGCCCUUUGUACACACCGCCCGUCGCUCCUACCGAUCGAAGAGUUAGGUGAAUUGUUUUGAUCGAUAAGAUUUGACUAUGGUCAACUCUCGUUGUGAAAUUCUGUGAAUCUGACUGUUUAGAGGAAGGAAAAGUCGUAACA